rnacentral:rRNA from 1 species
GACAGAGGGUGCAAACGUUGCUCGGAAUUAUUGGGCGUAAAGAGCUCGUAGGUGGUUUGUUACGUCUGCUGUGAAAACCUAGGGCUUAACCCUGGGCCUGCAGUGGAUACGGGCAGACUAGAGGUAGGUAGGGGAGAAUGGAAUUCCCGGUGUAGCGGUGAAAUGCGCAGAUAUCGGGAGGAACACCGGUGGCGAAGGCGGUUCUCUGGGCCUUACCUGACACUGAGGAGCGAAAGCGUGGGGAGCGAACAGG